rnacentral:tRNA from 1 species
GGGCCUGUAGUUUAGUGGUAAAACGGCGGUCUCCAAAACCGCAGUCGGGCGUCCGAUUCGCUCCAGGCCUGCCA